UUCAACCCCACCCAGCACAGGCACAGACGUCCAGUGAACUGUUGCCAAGCUGAGGAAUGAAUGAGUGAGAGCCGGGCUUGGGUCAAACGUGAACUUCAAUCCUACUUCUCCUGCUUAGAGCUGCAUGACAAUAGGCAAGCUAUUAGAUCUCUCAACUGUGAAUGAGAUAUUUCUGAUUUUCCAUGCAGGCUUCUGUUGACAGCAAUACCACGGCAUCUGUGAAAUUUGCUAAUGCACAAUUCUGCUCUAAUGCAUCAUAAGGCAUUUUAUGACAUCCACGCAGCUCCGAUAAAGAACAUGCUUACAACUGGGAGAAAAAACAACGAGGCAGGAAGAGAGCAAGGUGGGCUCUCAGGAAAUCUCCGUUCCUCCUCACUUAGGGCUGUUAACUAUCACACUUUGUUCCCUGACUCCAAGAGGCUAUCGCAGCUGCCGUUUCUGAGAUGUGAGUUUCCUGGUGACUCUCAGCUCCGAGGUGGAUGUUGACAGAAUGCCAAAUUUCUCUGCCCUUCCAGCAAGGUAAGGGGCUCGAGGAUGCUUCCUGCUUCUCUCCCUUGGGGAAAGUGACAGCAAGAGAGCCUGCUCUGACUGCCUUUGCUGGGAUGCUGUCCUCUUGGAUAGCUGUGUUCGAAGAUCAUCAUGUCAUUGAAACUCCUUGCCUGGCAGGUGAAGGGCCACUGACAGGGCUGUGGCAUACCCGCCUCGCCCUUCACCGUGGAAGUGACUGCUGUGGCUCCAGUCCACGCACCAGUCAAGUGGCCAUGGCAAUGAAUGUGGGUACCUAGAGCACAUCAACAGAUCCAAGCACUAUGACACCGCUGGUCUUGCCCAGAAUGUGCCAGGGCUGCCUCUCCUCCACCCGCAUGACACUCCUGAGCUCAGAUUUGUGCCUUACUCACUGCCCCCUGGACUCUUGGAGGACGCGUCUUCUUUUCCUGAGAUAAGCAUCUUUUCUCUGAGACGCUGCUUAGAUCUUUUCCUGCCCGUGAGUCUGGACACUGGUGGGAGUUCAAGAAUGAUGAGAAAGGGUGACAUGGCCAUAGGGUCUGCGAGGACCGAUCUGGCCUAUUUCAAAAUUUAAAUUUGGUUUGAGGUCCUAAAACGGCUAUAAAAACCUUACGCUAAAUAAGGAAAACUAUCCCAUUCGGGGGUCUAAUCCGAGCCCUGUUCUGCUCUGCUUCGCUCCCUCAUUAUACUUGUAUAUACAGUACGGUUGCUAUUGAGUCUUUCCUUCCUGUUUUUACACUUAUGCUUGCUUCACUGACUUUAUUAUCGGCAGAAUUUUGCAGCAUUUUUUUUCCAUAGCCAUAAAUACUAUUCAGUUCAACAAAUGCAUACAAAUGGUUUCCAUUAGAAUUUUAAUCUACUCUCAAAAUGAAAGAAAAGCUUAAUAUAAAUCUUUUUAAAUUACCAGAACAUAAAUUCAGACAGGGACAGCUCCACCCAGACUACACACAAGGGGUCACAUCCCGCUGUCCUCGUUCAUAAAUUAAUUGCGGUCCCUCGCCGCCGUAAAUGCACGGUGCAUCCUGGAAAGAUCAUAUCUGCCAAGAUUGCAGAUUGCUUUCCCUCAGACUUUGUAAAAGUCACAGCUUACAAUACCUUCAUUAUGCCGAUGAGAAUGGCUGUCUCCCCAACUGGAAAGAAAUAGGGGUUUUGUUCUGUUGGACCAAGAUUUACAGAAAGCAAUUUUCCUCCAUGCAGGAGAUAUGACAAACCUGCUGGAAAAAAAUGUCACUUCACAACUUCUUUCAUUUCAUCACCUUUUUUUACUGCCAGAUGUAGAUUCUCUUUCCUGUGCGCAUGGGCUGCCAUGACAUUUAAUGGCUAAGCGAGGUAGUCACCAGUGAGUGGACGCACUUUUCCGAGGGGCUAAGUUGCAGAGUUAAUGUUCCUUCCUCUCUCACCUCCGAGAGGCUGUCUGGAAGCAUCCCAGAGUCGGCCAGCUGGAGGGAGGGAAAACUCAAGGCCCUCCAGCCCUCGGACCAACUUGAACAUGAGAACUUGUGUGAGCCUUGACAGUCUUUUGCAAACAGCCUCAGCGGCCUCCGUGUUCCUCCUGUUUGCUGAGCCCAAGAGGCACAACACACCCGUUCUGUCCUUGGCCAUCGGCGGUACUCUCAGAGGAGGACAACUGAAGGACAGAGUUCGGGCUCAGAUUUUUUUUUUUUCCAUUUCCUCAUGUCACAACCUAACGCUGUUCUAGCACAGCUUCUGCAUAUUAAAUGGCCUUUUAGCAACCAGGAAGGGGGUGGUGUGAUCUGUGGAGAAAAGGCCCCUCAUGUAAAUGUAUGAUUGCUGACACUACCCCACUGAGGAGAAAGGGCAAGAUUAGCCUGGAGCCCAGGGGUCAGCAAACCCUGAGAAACGUCACUCUUUACAGCCACUUCUCUCUCCUUGAGUCAAGAGCCGCUGUUCUGGGCUCCUGGCCCACAGCAGCCCCAUCCCGGUCCUGUCACCGCCUGUUCUCUGGGCCGUGGUUGGCAACGAGGCUGAGGAAGUCUAAGGAAGAGCAUACAGAAAUACUCUGGCUUCAGAGAGCUUGUCUGAGGUUUGGGUACCAGAGAGAAAGCAAAGACAAAACUAAAUCUCUCUGCCGCCAAGGAGGAGCACCUGGGCCUCGGGCAGCCACCCACACUCUAGGUAAGGCUUCCUACCUGGGCAGCCACUUAGCUGCUCUGGGCCAGGAGGGCAGGGCCACUUGAAAGCCUAGCG
ensembl:lncRNA